AACGCACAUUGCGGCCAUAGGUAUUCCUUUGGCCAUGCCUGUUCGAGCGUCAUUUACACCCUCAAGCCUAGCUUGGUGUUGGGCGUCUGUCCCGCCGUUUUCGCGCGCGGACUCGCCUCAAAGUCAUUGGCGGCGGUCGUGCCGGCCCCUCGCGCAGCACAUUUGCGCUUCUUGGUGGCCCGGCGGAUCCGCGCUCCAGCAAGACCUUUCAUGACUUGACCUCGGAUCAGGUAGGGAUACCCGCUGAACUUAA
rnacentral:misc_RNA from 1 species